UCCGUCCUCUAAACUCAGCUUUUUUUCGAAUCUUUCAGUCAAUCUGUCGUCUGCUGCUGAUCUGAGAGUGGAGCCGCAAACCAAACCAUUGAAAAGCAAAACCUUAAACAAGCUGGCAUCCUCAAAUGAAGAGUAUGAAGGAUGGAAAAGCAGGAAACUGAAUUCUCAGGUCUUUGGAUUCAUCACCAGCACUCCAGCGAAGACCAGCCUCUCCAGGAGCUCAAACUUUCAGCCAGUGACCGGACGAGUAGACUGGACCGCCAAAUACAGCAGCCGCCGGUAGCGCAGCAGUCUCUCGGCUUUCCAGCGGAAUCCUGUGAAAGGUUCCCAGAGCAGGAAGUGUGUCUGCCGCUGCUAUAAAAUAUCAUUCAGUGUUGUAUGAGUCAGUCGACACUUUUAUCUUCGUUAUGUUAAAUAACAGGAAGUUUAAUAAAGUGAGUGAAUAUUA